rnacentral:rRNA from 1 species
GAAUGCUAAUACCGGAUAAUAACAGAUGAUGCCUAUCAACUGUUUAAAAGAUGGUUCUGCUAUCACUCUUGGAUGGACCUGCGGUGCAUUAGCUAGUUGGUAGGGUAACGGCCUACCAAGGCGAUGAUGCAUAGCCGAGUUGAGAGACUGAUCGGCCACAUUGGGACUGAGACACGGCCCAAACUCCUACGGGAGGCAGCAGGG